rnacentral:lncRNA from 1 species
GUGUGAGAUGAAGAAGGCAAUCAAGCUGGCCCUAGGCCAGUGAUGUGUAGAUGGCCAAAGGUUAAACCAAAAUAUUAGACCCAGCUGUUACUGUGAUCAUUGAAGCACCCUGGGAAUUACAGAACAAUAUGGAGUUAACUUUCUGCAUUGCUACGAUACCUCGAUGGUCCUGUUUGGUUUGAUCAAACAGACAAAAAAAUAGUUAUGUCCACAUACCGCUGCCAGCUAAACAGGAACUGGAAGAUAAGAGUUGCAGGUUCCAAAAUAAGACCACAAAAAGACUAUUCUGGCAAGAGUCCA